AAGAGCAAGCGUGCGGUUGCGAAACUUAUUUCAAGAUUUAUCUUAGAUGCAAGUUUUGAGGAAAGUCCGGGCUUCCCCGAAGAUCAGGCUGCUGGAUAAUGCCCAGUGCGAGCGAUCGUGAGGAUAGUGCCACAGAAAGAUACCGCCCAUUGAUAAAUAGCGCUUCGCAAUACUUAUUCAAUGGGUAAGGGUGCAAAGGUGUGUUAAGAGCGCACCAGCAGAGUCGUGAGGCUCUGGCUCGGUAAACCCCAGUUGGAAGCAAGGCGAGAGAAUACAAGUGUUGCGAUCUUCAAUUUGAUCUUGUAUUCGUUGCUUAAAGUGAUGGUUUAGUGAAAGCUAGGCGAUCGCUAUGUAAGUGUGUGCCGCAUGAGGUAUUUGGUAACAAAUAUCCCAGAUAGAUAACCGCUAAGGAGUUGAAAAACUCCCCAAACAGAACCCGGCUUAUGUCUUACUCUUUCUA
rnacentral:RNase_P_RNA from 1 species